UAUUUAAAUUUACAAUCCA
rnacentral:snRNA from 1 species